rnacentral:rRNA from 1 species
GACGAACGCUGCGGCGUGCCUAAUACAUGCAAGUAGAACGCUGAAGGAGGAGCUUACUUCUCUGGAUGAGUUGCGAACGGGUGAGUAACGCGUAGGUAACCUGCCUGGUAGCGGGGGAUAACUAUUGGAAACGAUAGCUAAUACCGCAUAAGAGUAGAUGUUGCAUGACAUUUACUUAAAAGGUUCCAUUGCACCACUACCAGAUGGACCUGCGUUGUAUUAGCUAGUUGGUGGGGUAACGGCUUACCAAGGCGACGAUACAUAGCCGACCUGAGAGGGUGAUCGGCCACACUGGGACUGAGACACGGCCCAGACUCCUACGGGAGGCAGCAGUAGGGAAUCUUCGGCAAUGGACGGAAGUCUGACCGAGCAACGCCGCGUGAGUGAAGAAGGUUUUCGGAUCGUAAAGCUCUGUUGUAAGAGAAGAACGAGUGUGAGAGUGGAAAGUUCACACUGUGACGGUAUCUUACCAGAAAGGGACGGCUAACUACGUGCCAGCAGCCGCAGUAA